rnacentral:rRNA from 1 species
UGGGGAUAUUGCGCAAUGGGGGAACCCGUGACGCAGCAACGCCGCGUGCGGGAAGAAGGUCUUCGGAUUGUAAACCGUUGUCGCAGGGGAAGAAGACAGUGACGGUACCCUGUGAGAAAGCCACGGCUAACUACGUGCCAGCAGCCGCGGUAAUACGUAGGUGGCAAGCGUUGUCCGGAUUUACUGGGUGUAAAGGGCGCGUAGGCGGGAUAGCAAGUCAGCCGUGAAAUGCCGAGGCUUAACCUCGGAGCUGCGGUUGAAACUGUUAUUCUUGAGUAUCGGAGAGGAAAGCGGAAUUCCUAGUGUAGCGGUGAAAUGCGUAGAUAUUAGGAGGAACACCAGUGGCGAAGGCGGCUUUCUGGACGACAACUGACGCUGAGGCGCGAAAGUGUGGGGAGCAAACAGGAUUAGAUACCCUGGUAGU